rnacentral:lncRNA from 1 species
AGGUAAUCUCACUUUGAACUGUACUUGUGUAAUUUUUUUUAUUGAAGGAGAGUUUCUGAUGAUAAUAUUGAAGUGGUGGUCUUUUCAGGUUCUUUGAUGUCAUUUAGCACUCUUAGAAGCUCUGGGAAGUACACAUUAUGUCGAUUUAGAUGGAUGGUAACUUCCGAUUUCUUGAGCAAGAACAUAUUUUUAAGGAACUGUCGUUUUGCAUGACUAUCCAUCUGCGUUUCGCAUGGCGAACGUUUAAUUAGCACCCCCACAGACUCAGAUUGUCCACCUUGAUGACGAGGAUUGACAGAUGUUGAGGGUUUCGAUGGAUCCUCCCACUGUGGCUGCAAUUCUUCUGGAACUUCGGAGGUUUCUACGUGCAUAUCUGAUGAUUUUACUGGGACUUCUAAGGCUUCCUCUACCUUCACACGUUCCUUCUUGCUUGAUUUAGACCUCCUUCUAUCGUCCUUUUCAAAUCGUAUGAAGAUCUGAUACAUGCUCAAAUAUAUAUCAGCUAUAUCUUCGUUUAUUUGUGCCAUGUUUUGUUUAUAGUUCUCCAAGGUGUUUUUCAUUAACAGAAUCUCAUGCGAAACCAUAUCCAUGCGGUACUGAAUCUCCGAACCCAUCAGCGUCUUGAGGACCUCCCUAUUCAAAUUCACUCUAGCUUCUGUAUGCGAUCCGAUGGAUUCAAUGGAGCUGGAACUCAGUUUAUGCAGAGACUCCACUUUUGGUGACUUGUGACUUGAUCGAUCAUUUAAUGGAUUGAAUUUCGUCAUAUUGCAAGUUCAAAAGUUAAAACAUUCAUUUAUUAACAUAUAUUUUUGUUGUUUUAUAUGGAUGAUG